rnacentral:ncRNA from 1 species
UCACCCAAGCAUUAGCUACAACUUCUGGUAGCGCUGAAUGUCGCUGCCACAUGAUUUCAUAACAUAGUGGAGAGCGUUGUCUUGGAAGCUCGGCGACAACCUUGAGCUGAACAAGUACCGGACAAUGGUCCAAGCAUGGAGAGGUGCCAACAGCCGUGGUAAGACAGAGGAUGCAAGUGUUAUCCGGAAUGAUUGGGCGUAAAGCGUCAGUAGGUGCCUUUUCAAGUCGGUUGUCAAAUCCUAGGGCUCAACCCUGGAUAGGCGGUGGAAACUACCAAGAUGGAGUACGGUAAGGGCAGAGGAAAUUUCCGGUGGAGCAGUGAAAUGCAUUGAGAUCAGAAAGAACACCAACAACGAAAGCACUCUACUGGGCCGACACUGACACUGAGAGACGAAAGCUAGGGGAGCAAAUGGGAUUAGAGACCCCAGUAGUCCUAGCCGUAAAUGAUGGAUACUAGGUGUUGUGCGAUUCCACCCGUGCAGUAGAAGUGUAAAAGAAAGUGGAUUCACUAGAUGAUACAUGAGUCCCUAAUUC